ensembl:lncRNA
CGGAAACUUCUGUUGUGUUGAGCUGUGUACCAAGAGAGAGAUGAAGGUUGUCAAUAAAUAGCAAUGGCUCCGGCUUCUAACACAUAGAAGCAUCGCACCUGGCAUUGAUGAGCCUGGAAAGAGUGGCGAUAACAUCAUUAUUGGCAGUGGCAUCUGGGCCCAGUUCCAAACAUGCCUUUCUUGGAAGCUGGAGGUUUGCUUUAAAGGUUAAAGGCAAAGAAGGAAAAUCCUCGUCUGACACGGGCUUUAUUAUGGACAGAAAUACUCCUCGGUUUCAUCAGCUGUCCGAGUGUCUGGUCUCAGACGAUCCUGCAGGUGAAGAAGUCUGAUGUGGAGGUCCUGGGCUGGUGGUUACACAUGGCUGCGGUUGUAAGGCCG